rnacentral:rRNA from 1 species
GAUGAACGCUGGCGGCGUGCCUAAUACAUGCAAGUCGAGCGAACAGAUGAGGAGCUUGCUCCUCUGACGUUAGCGGCGGACGGGUGAGUAACACGUGGAUAACCUACCUAUAAGACUGGGAUAACUUCGGGAAACCGGAGCUAAUACCGGAUAAUAUAUUGAACCGCAUGGUUCAAUGGUGAAAGACGGUUUUGCUGUCACUUAUAGAUGGAUCCGCGCCGCAUUAGCUAGUUGGUAAGGUAACGGCUUACCAAGGCAACGAUGCGUAGCCGACCUGAGAGGGUGAUCGGCCACACUGGAACUGAGACACGGUCCAGACUCCUACGGGAGGCAGCAGUAGGGAAUCUUCCGCAAUGGGCGAAAGCCUGACGGAGCAACGCCGCGUGAGUGAUGAAGGUCUUCGGAUCGUAAAACUCUGUUAUUAGGGAAGAACAAAUGUGUAAGUAACUAUGCACGUCUUGACGGUACCUAAUCAGAAAGCCACGGCUAACUACGU